UGUGCGGUAGAGGAGCGUUCUGUAAGCCUGUGAAGGUCAAUUGAGAAGUUGGCUGGAGGUAUCAGAAGUGCGAAUGCUGACAUGAGUAACGACAAAGGGAGUGAAAAACUCCCUCGCCGGAAGACCAAGGGUUCCUGCGCAACGUUAAUCGACGCAGGGUGAGUCGACCCCUAAGGCGAGGCCGAAAGGCGUAGUCGAUGGGAAACGGGUUAAUAUUCCCGUACUUCUGGUUACUGCGAUGGGGGGACGGAGAAGGCUAGGCCAGCACGGCGUUGGUUGUCCGUGUUCAAGGUGGUAGGCCGAGAUCUCAGGCAAAUCCGGGAUCUCAAGGCCGAGAACUGAUAACGACCCUUCUUUUGAAGGGGAAGUGGUUGAUGCCAUGCUUCCAGGAAAAGCCUCUAAGCUUCAGGUAACCAGAAAUCGUACCCCAAACCGACACAGGUGGUCAGGUAGAGAAUACCAAGGCGCUUGAGAGAACUCGGGUGAAGGAACUAGGCAAAAUGGCACCGUAACUUCGGGAGAAGGUGCGCCGGCCAGGGUGAAGGACUUGCUCCGUAAGCUCAGGCUGGUCGAAGAUACCAGGCCGCUGCAACUGUUUAUUAAAAACAUAGCACUCUGCAAACACGAAAGUGGACGUAUAGGGUGUGACGCCUGCCCGGUGCCGGAAGGUUAAUUGAUGGGGUUAGCGUAAGCGAAGCUCUUGAUCGAAGCCCCGGUAAACGGCGGCCGUAACUAUAACGGUCCUAAGGUAGCGAAAUUCCUUGUCGGGUAAGUUCCGACCUGCACGAAUGGCGUAAUGAUGGCGGCGCUGUCUCCACCCGAGACUCAGUGAAAUUGAAAUCGCUGUGAAGAUGCAGUGUAUCCGCGGCUAGACGGAAAGACCCCGUGAACCUUUACUAUAGCUUUGCACUGGACUUUGAAUUUGCUUGUGUAGGAUAGGUGGGAGGCUUUGAAGCGUGGACGCCAGUUCGCGUGGAGCCAACCUUGAAAUACCACCCUGGCACGUUUGAGGUUCUAACUCUGGUCCGUUAUCCGGAUCGAGGACAGUGUAUGGUGGGUAGUUUGACUGGGGCGGUCUCCUCCUAAAGAGUAACGGAGGAGUACGAAGGUGCGCUCAGCACGGUCGGAAAUCGUGCGUAGAGUAUAAAGGCAAAAGCGCGCUUGACUGCGAGACCAACACGUCGAGCAGGUACGAAAGUAGGUCUUAGUGAUCCGGUGGUUCUGUAUGGAAGGGCCAUCGCUCAACGGAUAAAAGGUACUCCGGGGAUAACAGGCUGAUACCGCCCAAGAGUUCAUAUCGACGGCGGUGUUUGGCACCUCGAUGUCGGCUCAUCACAUCCUGGGGCUGAAGCCGGUCCCAAGGGUAUGGCUGUUCGCCAUUUAAAGUGGUACGCGAGCUGGGUUUAGAACGUCGUGAGACAGUUCGGUCCCUAUCUGCCGUGGACGUUUGAGAUUUGAGAGGGGCUGCUCCUAGUACGAGAGGACCGGGGUGGACGAACCUCUGGUGUUCCGGUUGUGUCGCCAGACGCAUUGCCGGGUAGCUACGUUCGGAAACGAUAACCGCUGAAAGCAUCUAAGCGGGAAGCGUGCCUCAAGAUGAGAUCUCACCGGGGACUUGAUCCCCCUGAAGGGCCGUCGAAGACUACGACGUUGAUAGGCUGGGUGUGUAAGCGUUGUGAGGCGUUGAGCUAACCAGUACUAAUUGCCCGUGUGGCUUGACCAU
rnacentral:rRNA from 2 species